GAUGAAGAACGCAGCGAAAUGCGAUACGUAAUGUGAAUUGCAGAAUUCAGUGAAUCAUCGAAUCUUUGAACGCAUAUUGCGCUCUCUGGUAUUCCGGAGAGCAUGCUUGUUUGAGUAUCAGUAAACACCUCAACUUCCAUAUCUUUUUUGAAAAGGGAGUUGGACUUGAGUGAUCCCAACGCUUUUCCUCACCGAAAAGUGGCGGGUUACUUGAAAUGCAGGUGCAGCUGGACUUUUCUCUGAGCUAUAAGCAUAUCUAUUUAGUCUGCCUAAAAAACAGAUUAUUACCUUUGCUGCAGCUAACAUAAAGGAGAUUAGUUCUUGUGCUGACUGAUGCAGGAUUCACAAAGACGGCUUCGGCCGACUUUGUAAACUCGAUCUCAAAUCAAGUAAGACUACCCGCUGAACUUAAGCAUAUCAAUAAGCGGAGGA
rnacentral:misc_RNA from 1 species